rnacentral:lncRNA from 1 species
GAGUAUCUGGGACUACAGGUGCACAGCACCACGCCUGGCUAAUUUUCAUAUUUUUAGUAGAGGCAGGGUUUUACCAUGUUGGCAAGGCUUGUCUCAAACUCCUGAUCUCAAAUGAUCCACCCACCUCAGCAUCCCAAAUUUCUGGGAUUAUAGGCAUGAGCCAUCACAGCCUUCACCAACAUUUUUACCUGACUUAAUAGUAAAGCCUGAGCCAGAUGUGGUGGCUCAUGUCUAUAAUCCAAGCGCUUUGAGAGGCUGAGGUGGGUGGAUAGCUUGAGCCGAGGAGUUAGAGGCCAGCUUUGGCACCAUGGCAAAACCCCAUUUAUGAAAAAUACAAAAAUGAGCUAUGCAAGCUUGCAUGCACCCAUAGUCCCAGAUAUUAAUACUUGGGAGUCUGAGAUGGGGGAUGGUUUGAGCCCUGGAGGUGGAGGUUGCAGUGAGCUGUGAUUAUACAACAGCCUGGAUCAUAGAGUGAGACUGACUCAAAAGAAAAAAAAAAAAGUUGUAAAGCCCAAGUCUCAUCAUAUAUACUUUUCUUUUAACCUUUCCAAUUAAGUUUUCAAUUCUGAAAAGCAUGAGCCUAGAGGUCACUUAACAUAAUUCCCCUGCCUUUCAGGAUUCGGCAAAACUUGUGAAAUAGAAGUUGUCUUUUGAAUUUAAAAUUCAGUCAGAUGGCAAUGAUUGUUCAUUAAACGCAAAUACAAAUUACAUGCCUUCAGAGCAAAUACAAAUUACAUGCCUUCAGAGCAAUUUCCUUACCUUCGCUACUCCUCUUUACUUUCUAACUCCCAAAGAAUGUGGCCGUCUUGAAGGGUAAUUGCUCUUCUCCAUCCCUCAAAUUCUUUUUUUAAAAUUCCCUCUUUGGGAAAUCUACUCCUCAGCUUCCUAACAAUUGUGACUGGAAAUAAAGCCCAGUUUAUCUAUCCUGGUUUUGAAAGAGAAAAUAAAAGAAAAAUAAGGGAAAAAUAUUUUCCUGAAGAAAUAAUAGCAAAACAUUUUUCAAAUUUGAUGAAACUAAAACAGAGAUCCCAAAAGCCCAUUUAUUUACAAGACAAAAAGACAAACUAUAAAAGUCACACCAUAACCAAAUUGCUUAAAACUAAUGAAUAAACAAAUAGAGAAAAAAAAAGACAUUACUUGCAGAACUUAAGAGUAACAAUUAAGAACAUAAGCAGCAAUGCAAAACAUAGCACAAUGUAAUGACCUUUUUAAAGCACUGAUAAAAGGAUAUAUCCAUCAAAAAUUAAAGAAAAAUGAAGACGUUUUCAUGCAAACAAAAUGAAGCAAGUACCACCAAAGCUUUGCUACAAGACUUAUUAAAGGAAG